rnacentral:rRNA from 1 species
AUUGAACGCUGGCGGCAUGCCUUACACAUGCAAGUCGAACGGCAGCACGGGAGCAAUCCUGGUGGCGAGUGGCGAACGGGUGAGUAAUAUAUCGGAACGUGCCCAGUCGUGGGGAUAACGUAGCGAAAGCUACGCUAAUACCGCAUACGAUCUACGGAUGAAAGCGGGGGAUCGCAAGACCUCGCGCGAUUGGAGCGGCCGAUAUCAGAUUAGGUAGUUGGUGAGGUAAAGGCUCACCAAGCCGACGAUCUGUAGCUGGUCUGAGAGGACGACCAGCCACACUGGGACUGAGACACGGCCCAGACUCCUACGGGAGGCAGCAGUGGGGAAUUUUGGACAAUGGGCGCAAGCCUGAUCCAGCAAUGCCGCGUGCAGGAUGAAGGCCUCGGUUGGUUAAACGUA